UCUAAUCCGUAGUAAUGAAAUGACCAUACUAAUUCUAUGGUAAACACCGAUUAAAAGGAAAAAAAAAAAAGAAGCCAAAAUCAUCAUUAGUAACGUCCAAUAAAAGUGUUAUGUCUAUAUUCGGUGGUGCAAGUAGUACCUCAUCAGCAGCUAUAACAGAUUGCGACGAACUGGGUAUUGUAGUGGCGGAAGAAGCGGAGCACGUAGGAGAACGCAUUUUUUGGGGACUGGAUAGUAAGUUUUCUGUUUAUAAUUUUUUUGGA